AUUGAACGCUGGCGGCAUGCCUUACACAUGCAAGUCAAGGCAGCACGGGAGCGAAUCCUGGUGGCGAGUGGCGAACGGGUGAGUAAUAUAUCGGAACGUGUCCAGUCGUGGGGGGAUAACGUAGCGAAAGCUACGCUAAUACCGCAUACGAUCUAUGGAUGAAAGCGGGGGAUCGCAAGACCUCGCGCGAUUGGAGCGGCCGAUAUCAGAUUAGGUAGUUGGUGAGGUAAAGGCUCACCAAGCCGACGAUCUGUAGCUGGUCUGAGAGGACGACCAGCCACACUGGGACUGAGACACGGCCCAGACUCCUACGGGAGGCAGCAGUGGGGAAUUUUGGACAAUGGGCGCAAGCCUGAUCCAGCAAUGCCGCGUGCAGGAUGAAGGCCUUCGGGUUGUAAACUGCUUUUGUACGGAACGAAACGGUGAGCUCUAAUACAGUUUGCUAAUGACGGUACCGUAAGAAUAAGCACCGGCUAACUACGUG
rnacentral:rRNA from 1 species